GCUGGACGCGGUGGCCCACUCCUGUAAUCCCAGCAAUUUCGGAGGCUGAGGCAGGAGGAUGGCAAGUUUCAGGCCUGCUUCAGCAAUUUAGCGAGACCCUGUCUCAA
rnacentral:sRNA from 1 species